UGGGAAUGACCAGGUGUGUGGCUGCUGUGACACCAGCUGUGGACCUGCAGGUGUAGCAGGUGCUCAAGGCACAGGUGUUCUGGGUCCCAUUGCUAUCCAACAGGGUCCUCCCAUGGGUAGUCAGCCUGGACAGCUGUAUAUGCUGAAGGGAUAGGUACCUACUGCCCUAAUGUACAGUACCAAGCUGUGCAUGGUACCAGGAUGGAAGGAGCCACCUAACUUUCUGCCAUCUGUGCUGCUUAUGCUAUCUUCCCCUCAUGUGAUGGCUGCAGUUGGACUGUGCUGGGAACCAAGGGCACCACCUUAUGACUGAAUAAAGCACUAGUAGUAUAUGAAA